UAAUACUAGGGGUGCAAGCGUUGUCCGGAAUCACUGGGCGUAAAGGGUGCCUAGGCGUCUAUGUAAGUUGUUUGUUAAAUCCAUCGGCUUAACCGGUGACCUGCAAACAAAACUGCAAAGAUAGAGUUUGGAAGAGGAAAGUGGAAUUCCUGGUGUAGCGGUGACAUGCGUAGAUAUCAGGAGGAACACCGAAAGCGAAGGCAGCUUUCUGGUCCAAUACUGACGCUGAAGCACGAAAGCGUGGGGAGCAAACAGGAUUAGAUACCCUGGUAGUCCACGCCGUAAACGAUGAGCACUUGGUGUCGGAAGAUUCGACCCUUUCGGCGCCGGAGUUAACGCGUUAAGUGCUCCGCCUGGGGACUACGACCGCAAGGUUG
rnacentral:rRNA from 1 species